UGUUUAAAUUAUUAAAGAUCAAUAGCUUGCGUACUUUGCAGUUUCCUUUUCAAAAUCUAAUCGUGUACUGUACUGACUUUCUCCUCAGGUUAAGCUGGCCAGAAGUAACAUCAUACUGAACCUAAGGAGAAAUAACUUAAAAUGCCAGAACAGGUGACAGCUGACGUACGUGAAUGCCAAUGUAGAGGAAGUGACCGACACCUUGAGCAAGAUGUAACACCCAUCAUGUUACUUCAGCCUUCUUAGGUGGUUGGUGUACAAGAUAGAUGGACCAGACACAACAAGGUGACCACG
rnacentral:lncRNA from 1 species